rnacentral:rRNA from 1 species
UCGGGAAAUGAGAACAGGCCGGAUAGUCACAAUGCCUGGAACGGUUUGUGAAUCAAGGUAGGAUGGGUCUGCGGCGUAUCAGGUUGUAGGGGGUGUAAAGGACCCCCUAGCCUUCGACGCGUACGGGUGUUGGGAGACAUAGCCCGGAGAUGGAUUCUGAGACACGAAUCCAGACCCUACGGGGUGCAGCAGGCGCGAAAACUUCACACUGCGGGAAACUGUGAUGAGGGAACUCCUAGUGCAUGCACUAUGUGUAUGUAGAUCCUACUCUUAACAAGUAGAGGGAAAGGGCUGGGAAAGACCGGUGCCAGCCGCCGCGGUAAUACCGGCAGCUCAAGUGGUCGUCGCUUUUAUUGGGCCUAAAACGUCCGUAGCCUGUUUGGUAAAUCUGUGGGUAAAUCAAUCCGCUCAACGGAUUGAAUUCUGCAGAGACUGCCAGACUAAGGACCGGGAGAGGUGUGGGGUACUC